rnacentral:rRNA from 1 species
AUUGAACGCUGGCGGCAGGCCUAACACAUGCGAGUCGAACGAGUGGCGGACGGGUGAGUAAUGUCUGGGAAACUGCCCGAUGGAGGGGGAUAACUACUGGAAACGGUAGCUAAUACCGCAUACCAUCGGAUGUGCCCAGAUGGGAUUAGCUAGUAGGUGGGGUAACGGCUCACCUAGGCGACGAUCCCUAGCUGGUCUGAGAGGAUGACCGGCCACACUGGGACUGAGACACGGCCCAGACUCCGACGGGAGGCAGCAGUGGGGAAUAUUGGGCAAUGGGCGAAAGCCUGAUGCAGCCAUGCCGCGUGAAUGAAGAAGGUCUUCGGAUCGUAAAGUACUUUCGGCAAGGAAGCGUUACUCGCCGAAGAAGCACCGGCUAACUCCGUGCCAGCAGCCGCGGUAAUUC